rnacentral:rRNA from 1 species
GUCCACGCCCUAAACGAUGCUUACUCGUUGUAUGGGAGUAAUUUCAUGUGACUAAGCGAAAGCGAUAAGUAAGCCACCUGGGGAGUACGCCGGCAACGGUGAAACUCAAAGGAAUUGACGGGGUCCGCACAAGCGGUGGAGCAUGUGGUUUAAUUCGAUGAUACGCGAGGAACCUUACCUGGUCUAGAAUGCGCGUGCUUAUGUAUGAAAGUAUGUAUCCCCGCAAGGGGCACAAAGCAAGGUGCUGCAUGGCUGUCGU